UGUACAGGGAAGUGAUGUUGGAGAAC
rnacentral:piRNA from 1 species